GGAGGAGUGGCCGAGCGGUCUAAGGCGGCGGUCUUGAAAACCGUUGUGCGAGAGCACCGGGGGUUCGAAUCCCUUCUCCUCCGCGA
rnacentral:tRNA from 1 species